GGGGUCUUCCAAGAGAGAGAGAGCUUUUGUGAGGAAAACUUCUAGUGAGAGAGAAUUGGGUGUACAAGGGUUGAGGGUGAGGUCUCCUCUUGUAAAAUUUUUUUUUCAUAGUGAAGUUUGUAUGCCCCGUGAAGGCGAGCCCUUUUGUGGCUGAUCCACGUAUUUUGAUUAUUUUUUCUUUUAUUUUGUUUCUUCUUUC
rnacentral:lncRNA from 1 species